UUUGACAGUGACAAGUUUACGGAUUUCGUGUGUCGUGUCAGUCUGUCAAUUAAUUAUUUGUCUCUUAUUUUUAAAGUGUUGGAGUUAAAAAAAAUAUUUAUCAGCCUUUAGUCUCUAUUACCAUUUUAGUAUUUUCGGCUAUAUUUCUUUCAUCAAUCUUUCAAUACGGCGGGGCGAAGCAAUAUGAGAAGAGCGCGAGACGGUUAUCAGUAUCAGCCUAUACCAAGGGUCGCUACCGAAGAUGUCUUGGAACAUGAAAAUGAAAGAAUGGCAGAGGAACUUAGCGGAAAAA